CCCGCUGAACUUAAGCAUAUCAAUAAGCGGAGGAAAAGAAACUAACAAGGAUUCCCCUAGUAACGGCGAGUGAAGCGGGAAGAGCUCAAAUUUAAAAUCUGGUUUGCUUUGCAAAUCCGAGUUGUAGUCUGAAGAAACGUUUUCCAUGAAAGCUGAGGCACAAGUCCUUUGGAACAGGGCAUCAUAGAGGGUGAGAAUCCCGUCUUUGACACGGACUACCAGGGCUUAUGUGAUGUGCUCUCAAAGAGUCGAGUUGUUUGGGAAUGCAGCUCUAAAUGGGUGGUAAAUUCCAUCUAAAGCUAAAUAUUGGCGAGAGACCGAUAGCGAACAAGUACCGUGAGGGAAAGAUGAAAAGAACUUUGGAAAGAGAGUUAAACAGUACGUGAAAUUGUUGAAAGGGAAACGCUUGAAGUCAGUCGCGUUGCCCAGAAAUCAACCUUGCUUUUGCUUGGUGUACUUUCUGGUUAACGGGUCAGCAUCAAUUUUGACCGGUGGAUAAAGGUCAGGGGAAUGUGGCAUCUUCGGAUGUGUUAUAGCCCUUGGUUGCAUACAUCGAUUGGGAUUGAGGAACUCAGCAUGCCGCAAGGCCGGGUUUUUAACCACGUACAUGCUUAGGAUGCUGGCAUAAUGGCUUUAAUCGACCCGUCUUGAAACACGG
rnacentral:rRNA from 1 species